CUUCUUUGGAGAGCAGAAAUCUCUUCCCAUUAGCACCACUUCGAGACACCCGCGUUCCCCGCCGGAGUCCAAUCCAUCCCGCUCACCUUCUGGAGGGGGCCUCGCACCGGCCUGACGCGGCUGCAGCUGGGCCUGAAACAGGAACUUUCCACUUCCAGAGGCGAAAUGUGUGGAGCUCUCCGUGGUGCUGACUUGGAUUCUGCUGUUAGCGAAUGGUUACUGAGGAAGUCAACCAAUGGCAGUGGAAUUUCAAACUCAGUCAAGUGGUUGUUAAGUCACAUAGCCCGAUCUUAGUCACCAAAUGCCUAGAGAAACACACGUUACUAUUUUUGAUUCAUUUCUUAAACACCCUCCCUUUUUACUUAGCUUUUUAAGUAAAUUCAAGUUCACAUUUCUCCUCAAAUCAAGGACUCCAGGGAAAGAAGACUAACCUACAAAUUGUGCAGAUUUGGAAUUCGGGGCUGGGAGAUGGUUCAUUGCUGAAAUGCUUUCUGCACACCAUGAUCAUCUGAGUUCUCAUGACCAGGCUUGGAAUUCCCAUCUCCCACAGAGACGUCAGUUUUCUGUGCUGGCUUCGAAGGGAACUUCCUGCUCAUAGAGAGAGGCAGGUGAGCGCAUGAGAACUCUUUCAUCUGAGCUCAGUUUUGCAGCUGAGAAGAUUGAGAUGGAGAGAAGAUUUGCUUUAGGUCAUAAAAUGAGUUCAGUUCAGUUCACUUUGCAGCCUUGUAACUAAUAUGUGAAUCCCAUUCUCUUCUGCACUGCUGAAACAUACUCCUUCUCCCAAAUCUGUUAAAUUUCUAAAUUUGAUAGCUAAUUUGAAUGUUUCUUUUUAACAAACACUGCAUAUCUCAGCCAUACUUCGCAUUCAGGCACAUUGCAGCAAAGCUCUGCAGUGCUUUGGAUCUUGAGAUGCUUUCUGAUACUUUAGCCUAAUGUGGCCGUGUUCAAUCUUUUCUAAGACAAAUUUCCAUUUCUCUGUCUCUAAUUGAUCCUAACUCAACAUUCUAUAUCACCUUGAACAAAAUGUAAUUAUGAAACUGUAUCAGACUAAUAUUUCCUUUCCAACCUUCUGUGUUAAAUUCCUUUGUUCAAUACUGUUAAUAUAUUUUAUGUGGGGAGUUUAACUAAAUAAUGAAACUGCCGUGGCUGCCCCCUAUUGAAUUAGUCAUUGACAUUGUUAGCCUAGAAUAGACCAACACUGGAAAUGAUUCUCAUUUCAUCCAUACAUUCUUCAAGUUAUAGAAGAUUUAAUUUCUUACCACUUUUAAUCUAAAUUGUUAUUUCACAGUUUUAUGUCACAGAGCAGCAAAUAGCAUGGGGUCAUUUUCUUGCCCAUUGGGUUCUCACUGUCAUUUCUCAUUUUAUCAACUGUAAUUUAAAGAAUGAAUUCAACUCAGAAACUCCUGUUCCAAAUCUUUUCACUUUUAUUUGAUGGUAUUUUUUUUUCAUGCAUUCUCACUGAUACAAGUUUUUGCUUUAAGGUACUACUUAAGUCAUUUGUGAAAGAAAGCACUUAAUGGCCCAUGGGAUGUUUCAGUAGGUAAAGAUCCUUGCCUCCUAGCCUGAGAAAUUCAGCUCAAUUCAGAUGACCCACAUGGUAGAAGGAAAGAACCAUUUCCAGCCAGCCUUAUUCUUGAGUUCCACACACACACUGUGGCAUUCAGGCACUGCUCACGCCAACCCACGUCAAAUAAGUGCAUACUAAAAAGAAGGAAGAAUGGGUACCCAAAAGUAAUAUUUUAAGGGAAAAGGCCUUGGACAACAUGCUACUUGCCUGUUUGUUUCAAUGAUGAUCAUUCCACUUAAUUGUAGAAAUUAGUAUUUUCACAGAAUACCCUGAAAACAGAAUUAAGCAAUGUAACAUUGGCUUUCCUUUGAGAGCUCAAGUGCUCUCAUUGACUGGAGCACUGACAAAUUAACAAAGAGUAGAGGAAGAAAAUUCUUUUCCUGCGUGUGAUUGCAAGUGUGCCUUGGUUGAAAGCAGCAGAAAUCUCCUUAUCACCGAACUUGACUCAGAACCUGUCAGUCCUGACUCAGAAGCCUGCUCGUCUUCUGCUAUAAAAGUCUUUAUCAUCAGUCAUAACUCAGCCCGAACCUUUGCCAUUGUGAGGUUCAGAGUUGUUUGAUCUA